UAAGCACUUAAGGGGCGGAGCCGUAGCGAAAGCGAUGUUGAACUGGGCGUUAAGUUAGUGGACAUAUACCCGAAACCGUGCGAACGACCCAGGGGCAGGAGGAAGCGNAAGGAAAAUGUCUUGGAGGGCCGAACCCACGUGGGUGGAAAAGCUCGGGGAUGACUUGUGGGUAGCGGGGAAAUUCCAAUCGAGCCCGGAGAUAGCUGGGUCUCCCCGAAAUAGCUUUAGGGCUAGCCUCAAGGUGAGAGAGACGGAGGUAGAGCACUGAAUGUCCUAGGGGGUAUUGCACCUACCGAAGACUACCACACUCCGAAUGCCGUCAACGUAGACCUGGAAGUCAGACAGUGGGCGCUGAGACUCAUAGGUGAGAGGGCAGCACACCAGAGAGUCAGUUACGUUCUCUUACUGUUAUACACAUGGUAAGGUUUGGUGGAUUGCCCAGGCGAGCAGG
rnacentral:rRNA from 1 species